rnacentral:rRNA from 1 species
GACGAACGCUGGCGGCGUGCUUAACACAUGCAAGUCGAGCGGAGCGGCGAACGGGUGAGUAACGCGUGAGUAACUGCCCCCCUCUCUGGGAUAACAGUUGGAAACGGCUGCUAAUACCGGCUAGUGGGGGAUGACUCGCGUCCUAUCAGCUUUUUGGUGGGGUAGUGGCCUACCAAGGCGACGACGGGUUGCCGGCCUGAGAGGGCGACCGGCCAAAUUGCGCUGAGUGACGGGCCGAACACCUACGGUAGGCAGCAGUGGGGAAUAUUGCACAAUGGGGGAAACCCUGAUGCAGCAACGCCGCGUGCGGGAUGACGGCCUUCGGGUUGUAAACCGCUUUCGGCCAUGACGCGGUAGUGGCAGAAGAAGCACCGGCUAACUACGUGCCAGCCGCCGCGGUAAUUC